AGCUGCACCCACGGCCUAUGGAAGUUCCCAAGAUAGGGAUCUAAUUGGAGCUACUGCUGCCAGGCUACACCACAGCCACAGCCACACCAAGCCACAUCUGCGACCUACACCACAGCUCACAGCAACCCUGGAUCCUUAUCCCACUGAGCAAGGCCAGGGAUCAAACACACAUCCUCAUGGAUACUAGUCGGAUUCAUUUCCAUUGAGCCACGAUGGGCACUGCAGGCUUUUUCAUUUUUGCCAGUCCAAGGGGAGUCCCACUUCGCUGUGGUCUUAGUUUGUGUGUCCUUGUGGACUAGGGGGUGGAACCCCUUUCCCUGCGCCUCUUGGCACUCAGCUUCCCUGUGCUGCGAAGUGUCCCUGAAAGUCUUUGCUCAUUUUCCUGUGGAGUUGCUGCUUUUUCCUGGAUUUUCAGAGGUUCUUUAUGUACUGCAGACACCCAUCCCUGGUCAGAUAGAUAUGUGACAAAUAUCAUCAUUUUCUAAAAACUUUACUCAAGUGCCUUCCACACUAUUGUCUUUAACCCACCUGGAAAUGACUCAUUUUAAGUGUGAAUUAGAGGCUCAUUUUUACUUUCCCCUCAUUUGGUUCAUAACCACUGCAGUCUGUCCUCUCCUCCAUCUGCGUUUUGAUCUCAGCCACCUAUCUAUAUGUAUGCCUGUAGCCAAGGCUGUAUUUUAUUCAAUUGAUCUCUUUAUCUUAUCAUCUGUUUCAUUCUACAUGUCGCAAUCACUAAUCAUUCAGCUGCUCUAACCAUCAUUUCCUAAUGGACAGGCACACAAGAGUCCCUCUGUGCCUUAGGUGCCUUAGGUGUGUGCUUCCUGCUCAAAGUCCUGCUGGGACCACCUGUCUCCUGCUCUUGUCUUCACUGGAUGAUUUCUCAGCCUCCUGGAUAGUUGUCACAUUAGGACUUCCCUUCCCUUCCCUCUUCCAUCCAAGAAAGUGUUUUCUGCUCCCUUGAUCUACUUUUUGGUUUUGUUGGAAUAUUCUUCUAGUGGCUUUAUGAGAGAGUCACAGGAGGUAAACUUAGAGAACUUGCAUUUCCAGACCAUUGGUGGAUAGUUUAGCUGGGUACAGAAUUCCAUGUAGGAGUGGAGUUCCCAUCCUGGUGCAGCAGAAAUGAAUCUUACUAGGAACCAUGAGGUUGUGGGUGCGAUUCCUGGCCUUUCUCAGUGGGUUAAGGAUCUGGCAUUGCCAUGAGCUGUGGUGUAGGUUGCAGACAUGGCUCUGAUCUGGCAUUGCUGUGGCUGUGCUGUUGGACGGCAGCUGUAGCUCCAAUUAGACCCCUAGCCUGGGAACCUCCAUAUGCCAAAGAUAAUAUUUUCCAAAAAAUAGAACAAGAUGUCCAGUCCUGAAUGCUCCUCCAGUGCCUAGUUACUCUUUACUAGGCCACAUCCUGGAACAUCAGUGGGGCUUUGGAACUGCCCUGACACACAGAAGGUGGCAGAGGGCAGGCUGGCUGACUUUCUAGGCUAGGGCAUGAAAGGUGACAGGGCUUCCUACUGGCCCUCUCUCCUGGGACUCUCAGCCCUGGAAACCAGCUUCCAUGUUGUGAGGAAGCCCUGACCACAUAUGGAUGUCCUGGUUGGUAACCUCGACUAAGUCAUCAGCCAAGAAUUAGCAUCAACCCUAGAUGUCUGUAACCAAUCUUCCAGGUAAUAUCAGCUCCCAAACUUCAAAUGAAGUUUGGCCGAAGCCAAGUGGAGAGUAUAGUGUCCCCACGGUCCUACUCAAAUCGAAGGUCUAUGACUGUUUUGAGCCACUAAGUUGUAGCGUAUUAUGUAGUCUGAGUGACUGGAAUGGCUCUCUUUGUGCCAGCUACCAGCUACUAUUGGGAAUAUGAUGAUGGUGAGCCGGCCAGCCAUUCAGUCCCCCUAAGGAGAUCAUAAUCUAUUCAAUCAAUUUAAAUAAAGAAUACUUCCCAGGCAUGGGCCCCAGCCUGAGCAGGGUGAGAUGCCUUCCAUCAUUCAGAAAAGACUUAUCUAAUAUCCACCACCCACCAGGCAUGCUGGGCAUGCAGCAAGGGACAAGAAGCAAAAAUUCCUCCCCUUAAAGAUCUAACCUUCCCUUGGAGAGAGACAGUGCCCCAUGGCCCAGUGGGCAGCAGGGUGGGGAGUGGUCCUUGGGGGCAGUACUCAGCGAGGGGAAGGUGUCUCCAGGACAGAAGCCCGAGGUGGCCUGGGUUAGGCAGCCACCCCCUGCAGGAGGAAGACUACCCUAAGGGGAGCGGGAUGGGGAGCCAGGCAGGGUGCUGAGCCCGAGUGUCUGCUGAGAGUGAGCUAAGCCCAAGAGAAAUCGGGAAGAAUGGAGCUGUGUGGACUGGAAGACCCCCCCGAUGCCCCAAGUCAAAUGAAUGUGAAAACUGAGCAGCUAUGUACACCAGGGCUUUUUAUGUACUGCAAAAUAAAACACCCAAGCCCUGAAAGCUUCCUGGGAAUCAGAAAUUCUUUUAAAGAUUAAACCUUCAAAUCUACCCUCAAAAAACAGCCUCGGAGUGCCAGAAAUCUUCUCAGGGAAGAAUAAGGCAAAAUCGUGUCACAGUCAGUGAACGGGCUCCUCUCUGCCAACAGUGGGAACUGCUCGGAUCUGCAGCUGCCAGAGGAGAUCCAGCCUCUCAGACAAGAUGUCCCUCAAGGAGCUGGCCUUUCCCUCUCUGUUUCAGACGGGGACACUGAGGCCCGGGAAGGUCCAAGCCUAUGAAGGCCACACGGCCGGCAAGACUCUGAUGAGGGCUCCUUUCUUUACAAACAUCUUGUGGGGCAGGGGCUGGGAUUUUUCUGCCUGCAAAGUGUGGCUUGUCACCUAGCUCUGGCUUCAGACAACCUUGGUUCAGCUCAGGGUUCAGCUGCCUUCGAGCUGUGCAGCCUGGAGAGAGUCAGUGCACCUCUCUGUGCCUCAGUCUCCUCCACACAAGGACCACAAGGGAAUGGGCUCAGCCAGGCUGUAGGAGCAUCAGAUGAGUUCAUACUGGCUGUGCCCUUGCAAGGAGCCUGGCCCAGCCUGAGCUCUCACAUGCAGGGCUGCUUGGCCUCGGACUCAGAGUCUGCACCUCGUCUGGGCCCCUCUCAGCACCCCCUGCCCUCCCAAGACUCCUCCUCUGCGGCUGCAGCCACACAGACCGCCCGGACUUCUUAGUUCCUCCAGGCUGCCUGCCCCAGGACCUUGGCACUACCUGCUUCCUCUUCCUUUGAGGCUGCUCUCACCUCCUCAAGGGGGCCUGCUGCCACUGCUGGUUCCAGAUUGCAGUCCAGGCCUCCAGCUGGCACAGAGGCUUGCCCUGGCCCCUCCGCCUCUACUGUUCUACCAUCUAUCUCCCUGUGACCUGCCCUGGCCCGAGAGUUUCUUCCACGGGCUGAUCCAUCUUUCCUGGACAGAAGGCAGCCUCCUGAGGGCAGAAAGCUUUGCCUGUGUGUUUGCUGCUCUGGCCCAAAUGCCCAGAGGGCACCUGGCACACCGCAGUGACUCUGAGCAGUGCUGACUCAACUGUGGCUUUCAGAACCAGCUGGGAGUCUCCAGAAAGCACCCAUUCCUGGGCCCCAAAUCAGCCUUUCUAGGGGUGAGCUUUGAAACUGUUUGCUGCCCUCCUGCCCAGGAGCUGGGUCUGAUGCAGGCCACUUAUUACAGAGUCACUGCGCCAGAGGGGCCCCUGGGCACGCCUCACCCUAGGCCACAAACCACUGCUGACUUCUGGGGCCCUCUCUGUCCAGGUCCCUGGGUCUCCCUGGCCUUCUAACAGGGCAACGUGCCCAAUGUUUAUGAGAAACAUUUGCUUUUGCAAGAAGUGGCCAGAGGCAUGGAAAAAAAGUCCCAGCCAGGACAGGACAGAUAAAGGCUCGUUUCCAGGUGGUUGAAGAGGUCUUGGUCCUGAGGAAGGAGGAUGGCCUGAGGCUGCCUGGGGUGGGCUGGAGAAGAGAUGCAGGAAGAUGUGCGUCUGACCUGGGCCCGCUGGCCUGGCUGUCACCCCAAGCAGGGUGGGGAGCGCCCCCUGCAGGGGAAGGUGGUGAUUCAAACCCCUCCCCACCCCCACCUUGACUCCUGCAGGAGGCACUGAGCUGGGGCAGGGCUAGGGGUGUGCCUGGCACUUCCAGGAUCAGGGGCUGGAGUCUGUUAACCAGCCCUGCCAUUGGCUCUCCCAUCAAGGACGUCAAGGAGUCCUUGCAGAUAGUCCAUCUUGACCUACCACGCCCCCACCUGCCCAGCCUUCUGCUCCCAUGGGGUACCUGCUGCAGGUGUGGCAGCGGAGGGCACUCCCUUUCCUAGGGGCUGGCUGUGAUGAUGAGACCCCAUGGGGAACUACCUGAGGGGCCAGGGAAUGUCCCCCCACCGCCUCCCCCACCCCCGCCCAAGCAGGAUAGCCCUGGAGAGAACGUGAGCUAGUGAGUAUGCGUUAGUCCGUUUUGUGUUUUAAAAAAUGUACAAGCUCCUCUGCUCACACUCUGGGUGGAGUGCUGGGCACAGUGGCGGGUAGGCACACUGGCUCCUCACCUACUCCCUCAGCACCAUUUGGCUCCCUCGCCAUGUGUGAAUUACAGACUAAUACAUUGACAACAGACUCCUCCAGCUCCACCGAGUGCAGGCCAGCCGCCGGGCACCCUGGCAGGCGUCUCACACCCCAGGAAGCAGAUGUCCCUUCCUUAGCACCUGCCCUGGGAGGGCCGGCUCCUCAGGGCCCUGGGGAAGCAGAUGUCAGAGAAUCCAGUGGUGCUGGACCAUGGUGGGCCUAGGACAGGGAUGGGGCAGCCAACAGCUCCCACAACUUCCCACUGCCCGUGCUGGAGGCAAGCCCUGCCCUGGUCUCCUGAUCACCAUUGCAGUGCCUGGGUUUGCCCGGCUGACCAUGCUCUGGACACACCGGCCUUCUCUCAGUCUGUCUCACCCCAGGGCCUUUGCACAUGCUGGCUCUGGGCCACAAGCGCUCUGCAGUGACUCACUCUGGGCUGGGCCUCAUCCCAGGGCCCCAGUCCUAGGAGGCCUGUCGACAUUCCAACUUCACUAUGCCUCCUGCUCCCCUUACUUUCUGCCUCAUCCCCUGGCUGAUGUGCAUUGCCAGGUACCUGUGGAAACUGUCAGGGAGCAGGAACACGUUUCCUUUCUGGCCCUUUUGCCCCAGGUCUCAUGGUGAGUUAGAUGUGAUGAUGAAGGGUGCUUUUUUCUUUUUUUAUACUCGUCUGUAUUUUCUGAUAUUUGGAGCAGUAGGAACAUUAAUUUUUAUACUGAUUAAAAAACUAUUUCAGAAAUAACAUACUAAGUUGCACAAACAGACAUACAAUAAAGCCAUAUAUUUUUUGGUUAUGAAGGUAAUACAUAUUCACUGCAGAAAAUCU
rnacentral:lncRNA from 1 species